GUAUUCUGCUUUUUCUUUAGUUCCUAUAAAUCUUUUGUCUUUUACUAAAGAUUUAUGUGGAGAGGAACAUUUAUGAGUUUGUACCCAAUUUUUUGAGGCUUUGCUUUAGCAAAGCU